AUCAAGAUGCUGCAGCCAAGUACAAAACGAAAGAACAUGGCUUAAAUCAUGGGAUGAAGAAAGCAUGAUGGACUGAUGAUGAAGGAGAAAGUCCGUACAGAAAUAGCAAAAUCGCUUAAACUUGUAGUACUCAAAUGCAUUAACAUGGCAACAAAAUUCCAGUUGGUCGCGGAAUAUCUCCCCGCUUUUGUGCAUAAGUCAUAUCGAAACCAAUUUCAUAUAAGGGCAAGUUUUAAUCCUAACACUUACCAAAAACAAUGUUAUUAGUAAGCAUAAAGCAUUUUCUUGGAAUUCUUAGGAAUAUAACUCAAAUUUUCUCAAUUAUCCAAUAAAAAGAAAAAUCCCAUAAAAAUAGAACCACAAAGGUAUUGAAACUGGUAUCUAACGCUUUCUCUUCUUGUUGCCUUUGCCUUUACCAAGUUGUCCAGAUUUGAAAGCAUGUUCUUGUUCUUGAAGGAAAGCCAGAUUCUUGCCAUGUUUCUCUGCCCUCUCUUGCUCCUGCACAGCCUUUUCUUUUGCUUUCACAUCGCUCAUGAAGUAGAUGUCCUUGCGCAGCUCACGCACCACUCCUUUCCUUUCCUCAUUUAGCUUCUUAUUCAACUUUUUUAUGUCUGAACGGUACUUGUCUGGAUCGUAAUCCCUGCCUUUUGCAAAGCUGCACAACAAACAUAUACACACCGUUAUAACGAUCAUCCAAGUGUGGUCUCUGUAAGUACAAAUCAUGUGGAUUAUAAUUAGUUUUAUUAUUUGUUGAAAAACAUAAUCCACAUAUCAAAAUUUUGUAGGUUUGGAGACUUGGCUUAAGUAUAUAAAGAUUUGUGUCAGUUUAUUAAAAUCUAAUUGGGUAUGAACUAAAGUUUAUUUUAUUUUUUUGAGAAAGAAGGGCUUUUAGAACUAAAGUUUGUUAUUAGUGUCCCACUAGUUUGUUUAAACUCGAGUCUAGGCAUGGGCAUUCGGGGUCCCAAUCGGGUUUCGGUUUUUCAGGUUUAUCAAAAUUAGCCACAUUUGGAUUAUUUGAAAGUUCGGUUUAGGACCGGUUCAGGUUCUAUCGGAUUCGGGUCAGGGUUAGUAAAUCUUCAAAGAACCGGUACAACCCAAUGUACUUUCGGAUUCAGAUCCCAAUCGGUUCUUCGGUUUAAAAAUACCUGAUUUGUACCUAUUUUGUAACCAAAACAUAAGUAAAAUCGGUUCUUCGGGUUUAAAAUACAUGAUUUGUAUCUUUUUGUAACCAAAGCAUAAGUAAAAUAAAUUUGAAACUAAGAAAGAAACAUCAACCGUGAUCAUUCAAAAUCAAAUGAAAAGAAAACAUAUUUAUCGCUAAAAGAAAACCAAAUAAAUGAAAGCAUAAAACGAAAACCAAGUUCUCAUGAACUGAGAAACAUUUUUUAAUGAAAACAAAAUCAAAAUCUAUAUACUUUAAGAUUCAACAGCCACCUCCAACCAUCAACGACUUCGUAAAAUAGAUAAGUAUUUUAGAUGUUUUAUAUAUCUUAAUAUAUUUUGAAUACAUAUUAGGAAUUGAGAUCAUAGGUUUGGUACAAGAUCUUUUUGGGGUUUGAAUGUUUCGGGUUCUAUCAGAUAUCCAUUUAGGUUUGGGUUCAGAUAAUACUCAUAACUUGAAAUACCAUAAAACAAGAUCCAUUCGGCAUUUAUGUCGGGUUCGGAUCGGUUCGGAUUCAUUUAUAUCAGAUCAGAUUCGGUUUGGGUUUUCGAGUUCGGUUUAUUUACCCAGCCCCACUCGAAACUUUAACUCACAAAGAUAAUAGAAAAUACACAACAUAAAACAACAACAUAAAUGAAAAUAAGUAAUGAAAUAAUUUCUUGUAUAAAGACCGUAAGUUUACUGGAGACAUACUACAUAUCUGCAUGAGUUUUAUAACCUAUAUGUUUAGCUUUUUCAAUAAAGAGGCCAAACACAGUGUUGGCAACACUCAUAUAAAUUCGCAAGUUAAACAAGAAAAUUUGAACCAAAAUAUUUGGAUUUCGUAUUAACAAGCCUUAUGUUUUAUGUAACUUAUUUACCCAUUUCGGUUAAUCUUUCAUAGUUUGUGUGAUAGAUAUCAUUUGUAGUUUGAAACAACUGAAUUCUUUAUAACAUUUUUUCUUUGUUUUUGGUAAAAUGUUAAAUUAUUAUACCAAAUUUCCAAUUCUACACAGACAAAACACCUAGUAGCAGAAGAACGUUAUUAAACUAAACAGAAAGGAUCUAAGCAACAAAAUAACUAAAUGAAGCAAGGAAGAAACAGACUUUGGACAAUACUUUAACUUUAGCGCGAAGGACUAGAAAACGAGUCGACAACAGAGAGAGCUACCAGUCGCCACGAGCUACUGGAGAGAAAGAUGUUCUUAAACCUUGAAACACACAGCUCCUGUAGCUUCUAGAGAACUUAAACGUCACAAACUGCCCAAAGAAUUACAAUUCGAACUCGCUAGCUAACCCAAAAAACACCUAGCCGGCAGCACGACGAGGAUUUCACAACCGACGAUACCGUCUUUUGGAGAAGGUACUUUUCUUGUCAAAAGUAUCCCCUUAACAUUAUUUUUUUGGAUCAUUUCAUAUUUUGUUUUCUUAAUUCUAUGAUUCUCCUUUUUGGGAUCCCCUAUUGAUUCUUACCUCUAUUGUAGAGUUGAAGUUAAACUGCUAUCUUAAUUGUAAGGUGUAAAGUUAAACCGCUAGAGAGCAAACUAAGCAAGAAAAUAACACAUGCAUGUUUAUAUGAGUUUCACGUGAACAUUUAAUAUUACCAAUAUUGCCGAUAUGCUGCAUUUAUUAAUCAGAAUUGAAAUUUAUAGUCAUAUUUCAAAUUUAAAUAUUAUCUUUUGGGAUUUGAGCACAUGAAAAGUUCAAUAAUUGCGUCAUAUUCUGUUGAUGGCUCCAACAGCUAUAGCAAUGAAAUCCUCCAUGACUAAUGUCAUCUCCAUAAGCCUCUUUGAGGUCUUGUCUGUGUUCUUUCCGACUUGAUCCUUCACGAUUUUUGUUUGGUCAAAACUAACCAUGAUAUCAUAGCUUGCAGUCUGCGCAUCGUUAUCCUCAAUUUCUAAUCGAGCACUUCUAAAAUUCUCCACUAUUGAGAUAUAUGAUUCAUAGCACAUCGUUUUAUUAAAUGUAGGCUCUUUUUCCAAUCCGGCAACGAAACCUGCCCUUUUUUUAGCUUGGGUCCUUACAAGGUCGACUGUGACUUUCACAAGAUUGACCUAUAUAUUAAAAAAAGCCAAAAUUUUACUGAGAAUUGUAGUUUUUCAGGAAUAAUAAAUAUGCUACAAAUUUUUUGCAUAAUAGUGAUUACGUAUUUACAAAAUAAAGCUCUGAACGUUUUCCCAAACACUUUUUCACCAAUACGUGUUUUUUUUUUGUAACACUCCAAUGCGCUUGUUAAAAAAUAGUUAAUUUAAUAAAUAAGCAAAUAUGUCAGAUUUCAUACCAGUAAAAUCAAUGAAUUUAUCAAAUACUAAUUUUUUUAACUCUUAUAGAUUAACAUGAAUCUUAAACCCUAACAUUUUUUUAUCUCCUCCCAACACAAAGAAAACUGGAAUCUAAAACACAAGACUGCAAAAUAGUUAAUUGCCUAUUUUAUGAUUUAUUUGUAGGAUUUUCUCUUAAUUGUUUUUUUAUUUCCGUUUAAAACAAUUAGACCAUAAAUUAGACAAAGAAAUUUAAAUCUUUUGAAUGUAAAUUUUUGGUGUAAUAUCGAAUAAAAAAAAAUAACAGAAUUGUUGGACCAAGAUAGAAAAUAAAUGAGGGGUUAGAUAGUAAUAUACCAUGUUAGUUGCAGAGACGGCGGGAGGAUACGUUGUGAGCGUUUGCAGGCAUAACGUUUUGUUAUGGUUAUGGACAAAAGAAUCAUUGCAUAUGGAAUCAAUGUCUUUUGUUGAGGCCAUGGUCAAAGUAGAUCCUAAGAAAAAUAGUAACAAGACUACCAGUGAAACAAGAAAAAAAUAAUUAGAGGAAGAAGUCAUGAUUUACUAGAGAAUUUAUUUCCCUCAACCUCUAUUGUUAGUAUUCAUAUUGCUGUUCUACUUGAGUAUCUUUAUAUAUACAUUAAAAUUAUGGAUAGAAGGUAAAAAAUCUAUAUUAAAGGAAUUUUGGUCAUUUCACUGGAUACCACCGUAUUUAUUGUUACUCUUUUUCUUGGUCAAUCUUGGUGAAAACUGUAAUUAGUAUCUUAUGAUUUCUAAAUAUUUAAUUCUAUUUUAAGAUAAUCAACUUUCAACAUUCAAAGGAGAAUCAUUCCACAAAAGUCAUUAUGUUAAACAUCAUAACUGACUUGAGGAAGGCUCUGUUAUAAUUUUCCUCAAAAAUAUAAUCUCACAGAUAUUAAGUUUUUUUUCUUUUUCUUAAAUAGUUAAACUUUUAGAUUACAAUGUUUAAUGUUUUCAGAUUCCAUGGGGUAGGUAACUAAAUUUAUUAGUUAUAAAUAUAAUACAUUUAUUACACCUUUGUGAAAGCUUUAAUAAAUUUUAUGGAGAUAUUAUACAUAUUUAUCAAGAUCUUUCUAAAUUUUAAAAAGAUACGAUACUUAUUCUGGAAGAUUUUUCUAAACUCAUAUUUAGAAAUAUAUUAUACACUGUAAGAAAGUCUUCCUAAAAUAAAAUUCGAAAAUAUCAUACUUACUCAGGAAUGCUUUCUAUUCAAGAAAAUUUAUUUAUUAAAAAUGAUUGAAAAAAAAAACUAAAAAGGAAAAUUUCAAAAGAAAAAUAUUUGGGAAAAAAAUUCAGAAAGAAGUUUUAAAUAUUGUUUAGAAAAUAAAAAAAAUGAUUUUUCAAAAAGUUAUAUAAAAAUUUGUAUAUUUUAAUAUAUCUUUAAAGUAUGGAUAUAAUUGUCAAUUACUUUUUAAUGAUUGUUGUAGUCAUUUUGAACCUUGUUUUUGCUAUUUUAUGAUAAAAAAAACAUUUUAAGAUUAUCUUAGAGUUUUUCUCGUUAAUUUUAUAACACAUAUCAUCUUAGCACUAGGGAAAAUUCAGAACUCAUCCAAUUUACUUAAAUCCAAUUAAGAAAUUAUUUAAUGUGAGUAAUUUUGAACUAACUUAUAAGAUAACCUGAAAAAUAAAUUUUUAUAUACUGAUUAAACUCAUUUCAAACCAAAACUAAAAAUAGAGUGCUAAACUGAGUUAACUACAAAUUAUUUUAAGCUUAUAUUAUUAACUAAAAAUCAAUUAUUAAAAUCAUGAAAUUAUUAUUUAUAGUAUUUUUAUUAAAAUAAAUAUAAUAUAAUUAAACUUGAAUAUAAUUUAUGUUUGGCGGGAAAUUUCAGAUUUUUCGGUUUGGUGGAAAUUUUUAAUUUUUUGGAGAGAAAAUUCAAUUUUGUGGUUUUGUAGGAAAAAUCUGAUUUAUGGCUUUGGUAGAAACUCCUGAUUGUAUAGUUCUCGUGGAAAAAUUCGAUUUUGUCGGUAAAAACCUUGAUUUUGUAGUUUUGGUAGGAAACCCGGAUUUUAUGGUUUUAAUUGUUUUGCCUUCUUUUUUUAUUCUUGCUUUUAUUACAAAUAAAUAUAAUGCUAGGUGAUCACAAUGUUAACAUUGGCAGAAAAUUUGAAAUUGUGAUUUUGGCAAAAAAUUUGAAGGAGCAGACGAAACCCGGAUUUUAUGGUUUUAGUAGAAAACAAAACUUGUUUCUGUGAUUUUGGCAGAAAAUUUGAAAUUGUGAUUUUGGCAAAAAUGUGAUUUUAUGGUUUUGAAGUAUUGUUUAGUAAUUAUAGUAAUUAAUCAAAUUUAUUUUUAUAUUUGUAUUUAAGGUAUUUAAAUCUUUUGGAUUUUACGGUCCAAAAUCUUGCAUCCCACAAAAUAUCUAGACUUUUUGUACAUACAACCACAUACAUUAUUUAGAUGUUGAUGCAAUAAUGUUCAAACAAAACAUUUAAACAUCGAGAUGCUGCAACGAAAUACAAAACGAAAGAACAUGGCUUAAAUCAUGGGAUGAAGGAAGCAUGAUAGACUGGUGAUGAAGGAGAAAGUCUGUACAGAAUUAACAAAAUCGCUUAAACUUGUUUAUGUGAUUUUAGCGGAAAAUUUGACAUUUUGAUUUUGGCAAAAUGUGAUUUUAUAGUUUUGAAGUAUUGUUUAAUAAUUAAGUAAUUAAUUAAUCAAAUUUAUUUUUAUAUUUGUAUUUAAGGCAUUUAAAUUUUUUGGAUUUUACGAUCCAAAUCUUGCAUCCGACAAAAUAUCUAGACUUUUUGGACAUACAACCACAUACAUUAUUUAGAUGUUCAUGCAAUAAUGUUCAAACAAAACAUCUAAACAUCAAGAUGCUGCAACCAAAUACAAAACGAAAGAACAUGGCUUAAAUCAUGAGAUGAAGAAAGCAUGAUGGAUUGAUGAUGAAGGAGAAAGUCCGUACAGAAACAACAAAAUCGCUUAAACUUGUAGUACUCAAAUGCAUUAACAUGGCAACCAAAUUCCAGUUGGUCGCGGAAUAUCUCCCCGCUUUUGUGCAUAAGUCAUAUCGAAUCAAUUUCAUAGAAGGGCAAGUUUUAAUCCUAACACUUACCAAAAACAAUGUUAUUAGUAAGCAUAAAGCAUUUUCUUGGAACUCUUAGGAAUAUAACUCAAAUUUUCUCAAUUAUCCAAUAAAAAGAAAAAUCCCAUAAAAAUAGAACCACAAAGGUAUUGAAACUGGUAUCUAACGCUUUCUCUUCUUGUUGCCUUUGCCUUUACCAAGUUGUCCAGAUUUGAAAGCAUGUUCUUGUUCUUGAAGGAAAGCCAGAUUCUUGCCAUGUUUCUCUGCCCUCUCUUGCUCCUGCACAGCCUUUUCUUUUGCUUUCACAUCGCUCAUGAAGUAGCUGUCCUUGCGCAGCUCACGCACCACUCCUUUCCUUUCCUCAUUUAGCUUCUUCUUCAACUUUUUCAUGUCUGAACGGUACUUGUCUGGAUCGUA
rnacentral:lncRNA from 1 species